rnacentral:tRNA from 1 species
GGGCGCAUAGCUCAGCUGGGAGAGCACCUGCCUUACAAGCAGGGGGUCACAGGUUCGAGCCCUGUUGCGCCCAC